rnacentral:rRNA from 1 species
GCCCCUAAGUCUGGGAUACCAUUUGGAAACAGGUGCUAAUACCGGAUAAUAAAGCAGAUCGCAUGAUCAGCUUUUGAAAGGCGGCGUAAGCUGUCGCUAAGGGAUGGCCCCGCGGUGCAUUAGCUAGUUGGUAAGGUAACGGCUUACCAAGGCGACGAUGCAUAGCCGAGUUGAGAGACUGAUCGGCCACAUUGGGACUGAGACACGGCCCAAACUCCUACGGGAGGCAGCAGUAGGGAAUCUUCCACAAUGGACGCAAGUCUGAUGGAGCAACGCCGCGUGAGUGAAGAAGGUUUUCGGAUCGUAAAGCUCUGUUGUUGGUGAAGAAGGAUAGAGGUAGUAACUGGCCUUUAUUUGACGGUAAUCAACCAGAAAGUCACGGCUAACUACGUGCCAGCAGCCGCGGUAAUACGUAGGUGGCAAGCGUUGUCCGGAUUUAUUGGGCGUAAAGCGAGCGCAGGCGGAAAAAUAAGUCUAAAUGUGAAAGCCCUCGGCUUAAC